UACGUAGGGUCCGAGCGUUGUCCGGAUGGACUGGGCGUAAAGCGCGCGCAGGCGGCCCGCGAGGUGUCCUGUGAAAGCCCCGUGCUCAACGCGGGAGGGUCAGGGCAAACCGGCGGGCUUGAGGCCGGUAGAGGUGGGUGGAACUCCUGGUGGAGUGGUGAAAUGCGUAGAGAUCAGGAAGAACACCCGUGGCGAAGGCGGCCCACUGGGCCGGACCUGACGCUGAGGCGCGAAGGCGUGGGGAGCGAACGGG
rnacentral:rRNA from 1 species